AUGCAGCCGCGUCUGGAAUCCACAUUUGGCCCCGCGCCAUCCGCACCCAGCUGACGAUUGCUCGCUACGUUGUGUUAGCC
rnacentral:sRNA from 1 species